AAUAGAUACCCGGUAGUCCACGCCGUAACUAUGAUUACUCGAUGUCGGCGAUAUACUGUCGGUGUCCAAGCGAAAGUGAUAAGUAAUCCACCUGGGGAGUACGAUCGCAAGGUUGAAACUCAAAGGAAUUGACGGGGGCCCGCACAAGCGGUGGAGCAUGUGGUUUAAUUCGAUGAUACGCGAGGAACCUUACCUGGGCUUGAAUGCAUUAUGACCGUCCCGGAAACGGGACUUUCUUCGGACAGAAUGCAAGGUGCUGCAUGGUUGUCGUCAGCUCGUGCUGUGAGGUGUCGGGUUAAGUCCCAUAACGAGCGCAACCCCUAUUCUUAGUUGCCAGCGGGUAAUGCCGGGGACUCUAAGAAACUGCCCGCGUAAGCGGUGAGGAAGGUGGGGAUGACGUCAAAUCAUCACGGCCCUUACGUCCAGGGCUACACACGUGCUACAAUGGUCAGUACAAAGGGCAGCUACCUGGUGACAGGAUGCUAAAUCUCGAAAAACUGAUCUCAGUUCGGAUCGAAGUCUGCAACUCGUA
rnacentral:rRNA from 1 species